AAAGAAAAAAGAAAGAAAACGAAAAAAAGAAAAGAAAGAAAAGAAAAAGAGAAAAGAAAAAAGAGAAGAAAAAGAGUUUGUUGACAGGGAAACGUUUUGGAAGGGUGCAAUGGUGAGAAAAACGGUUAUAGGGAAUUGAUUUUGAAAUCUCAGAGGCACAAGAUCAAAUUUAGUUUGGCUUGGAAAUAGGAAGAACAGAAUGGACUCACGCACACGUUGCUUCCUCACCAUUUCUCACCCUCCAAUCCAUGCACCUCCAACAGAAUCAUCACAUACAGGAUUCACUCCCAAUUGGGCACCCAAUCAUAAGAAAAAUAUCCCUUUUGCUCACCACCUACACCAUCACCUCAUCACUCCAACCAUUUGGUCAUAUACCGCUACUACUAAUACCAUUUUCGGCCAUCUUCAUCUUCAAUAAAUCUUCGUUCCCAUCUUCCUUCUCAAGGAAUUUCCCUACAUUCAAACCAAAACAGAGACAACCAAAUCAACUUCCUAACCUCCACUACGUUUUCCAUCAUCAUAUACCGAUUCAUCCAAAUUCUCGAGGCACCAAAACCUUUUUUUUCAAUCCAUCACACCCACUCUAAUUCCUCAUCUCCAUCAACACCAAACGGAAACCAAUUCUUGCUCACCACAUAACAGAAACCACUCUCCAUUACUCCAACUUGUCAUUCCCCCAACUGGAUUGAUCCCUUCAACCAUCACAUACAAGGCACACAUCAAGACCUUCACCUUCAACCUACAAAACCAAACCAAAACAGAGAAGAACGCCAUCCCGUCAUCCAUUUCAUUGCUCCUAUCAUCUCCAACACCAAUGAUUUCCCAUUAACAGUUUGGAGCAUUAUCCUCCUCCAUCACACAAAACCCAAUCAAGGCAAACCGGAGAAGAAGCCAUUCGCCUCCAGUGCCAUCUAACAUUCACCUGCAAAUCAAACAGAAAAUACGAUACAGUGGAAGCGUUUCAAUCACGGUGCUAUGGUGUGGCUGAUACGCGGCAGUGAGCAACAGCAUCGACGAAGAGUCACGAUUCGCGGCGGCGACGUUGGUUUCGCUGGCGAAGUGGUUUUCGAAUUCGAAUAGAAGAAGGAGAGGAAGGGGAAACUCCUGCUUUCGAACCGCAUCGGACCAGAGGUUGAUGAGGGAAACCGUUACCCUGGAUUGUUUCCGGUGACGUCGCGACCUAGGGUAGGAGGAGAAGAGUCCUCUCUCACGCGCAAAGAGAGGCGGGAGUGAGGAGAUCUCUAUCGGCGCUUCCAUUGGCGACGGCUUGCGGCGACUGGUACGGAGGCGUUGACGACUGGCAAAGUGGAGGUGGCGGCAUCCUCAAGUAGAGAGGCGAACCUGUCGCUGGCCGUUACCUUCGAGAGAGGAGAAGGCCUUGUGUUUCUCUCGACAGCGCUUGGAAAAAAUGAGAAGAAAUGGGAGGAACCCGUAUCAGUUUCUAUUAGGGUUAAAUGGCCUUGGGCCUGAUUAUGGGCUGCAUUCUUUCUGGCGCCACACAAAUCAUAUUCACACCACCACUCUAUUUCUGCAAACAAGAAAAGAGGGUUUGGGCCUGGCCAUUGGGCUUCAGUCUCUCUGCCUGCCACCUGGCGCAACUCUGUUCACACUCCCCUG
rnacentral:lncRNA from 1 species